rnacentral:rRNA from 1 species
UUNUGAACUGGGUGACUAGAGUGUGUCAGAGGGAGGUAGAAUUCCACGUGUAGCAGUGAAAUGCGUAGAGAUGUGGAGGAAUACCGAUGGCGAAGGCAGCCUCCUGGGAUAACACUGACGUUCAUGCCCGAAAGCGUGGGUAGCAAACAGGAUUAGAUACCCUGGUAGUCCACGCCCUAAACGAUGUCGAUUAGCUGUUGGGCAGCAUGACUGCUUAGUAGCGAAGCUAACGCGUGAAAUCGACCGCCUGGGGAGUACGGUCGCAAGAUUAAAACUCAAAGGAAUUGACGGGGACCCGCACAAGCGGUGGAUGAUGUGGAUUAAUUCGAUGCAACGCGAAGAACCUUACCUGGUCUUGACAUGUGCGGAACCCUCCAGAGACGGAGGGGUGCCUUCGGGAGCCGUAACACAGGUGCUGCAUGGCUGUCGUCAGCUCGUGUCGUGAGAUGUUGGGUUAAGUCCCGCAACGAGCGCAACCCUUGUCAUUAGUUGCCAUCAUUAAGUUGGGCACUCUAAUGAGACUGCCGGUGACAAGCCGGAGGAAGGUGGGGAUGACGUCAAGUCCUCAUGGCCCUUAUGACCAGGGCUUCACACGUCAUACAAUGGUCGGUACAGAGGGUAGCCAAGCCGCGAGGUGGAGCCAAUCUCACAAAACCGAUCGUAGUCCGGAUUGCACUCUGCAACUCGAGUGCAUGAAGUCGGAAUCGCUAGUAAUCGCAGGUCAGCAUACUGCGGUGAAUACGUUCCCGGGUCUUGUACACACCGCCCGUCACACCAUGGGAGUGGGGGAUACCAGAAGUAGGUAGGGUAACCGCAAGGAGCCCGCUUACCACGGUA